rnacentral:rRNA from 1 species
CAACAGCGUAUAUUAAAAUUGUUGCGGUUAAAACGCUCGUAGUCGAAUUCUUGCUAGGUGGUACUGGUGCUUCCCAGUGAAGUAUACGCGGUGUUCGCUUCAGCUAUUACUUGGUGAAGGUGCAUACGCUUCAGUGCGUGUCACACUAUCCAAGUCCUUGCUUUGAGGAAAUGGGAGUGUUCCAAGCAGGCGCAUGCCUUGAAUAUGAUAGCAUGGAAUAACAGUAUGAGACCUCCUUUCAAAGUUGUUGGUUCUUUGGAAUUAGGUAAUGAAAACAUGGAUGGUUGGGGGUAUUCGUAUUUAACUGUCAGAGGUGAAAUUCUUGGAUUUUUUAAAGACAAACUAGCGCGAAGGCAUUUACCCAGGAUGUUCUCAUUGA